ACGGGGGCAGCAGUGGGGAAUAUUGCACAAUGGAGGAAACUCUGAUGCAGCGACGCCGCGUGACUGAAGAAGUAUUUCGGUAUGUAAAGGUCUAUCAGCAAGGAAGAAAAUGACGGUACUUGACUAAGAAGCUCCGGCUAAAUACGUGCCAGCAGCCGCGGUAAUACGUAUGGAGCAAGCGUUAUCCGGAUUUACUGGUGUAAAGGGAGUGUAGGUGGCAUCACAAGUCAGAAGUGAAAGCCCGGGGCUCAACCCCGGGACUGCUUUUGAAACUGUGGAGCUAGAGUGCAGGAGAGGUAAGUGGAAUUCCUAGUGUAGCGGUGAAAUGCGUAGAUAUUAGGAGGAACACCAGUGGCGAAGGCGGCUUACUGGACUGUAACUGACACUGAGGCUCGAAAGCGUGGGGAGCAAACAGGAUUAGAUACCCUGGUA
rnacentral:rRNA from 1 species